UACAGAGGUCUCAAGCGUUGUUCGGAAUUACUGGGCGUAAAGGGUGCGUAGGCGGCGCGGUAAGUCGGGUGUGAAAUCUCGGAGCUUAACCCCGAAACUGCAUUCGAUACUGCCGUGCUUGAGGACUGGAGAGGAGACUGGAAUUUACGGUGUAGCGGUGAAAUGCGUAGAUAUCGUAAGGAAGACCAGUGGCGAAGGCGGGUCUCUGGACAGUUCCUGACGCUGAGGCACGAAGGUCAGGGGAGCAAACGGG
rnacentral:rRNA from 1 species